CGCCUUGCCAGCCCGCUCAGAAACUUAAAGGAAUUGACGGGGGCCCGCGACAAGCGGUGGAGUAUGUGGUUUAAUUCGAUGCAACGCGAAGAACCUUACCUGGUCUUGACAUCCCGGAGACCCUUAGGAAACUAGGGGUGCUUCCAUCUGGAAGAAUCUGGAGACAGGUGCUGCAUGGCUGUCGUCAGCUCGUGUCGUGAGAUGUUGGGUUAAGUCCCGCAACGAGCGCAACCCUUGCCUUUAGUUGCCAGCAGUUCGGCUGGGCACUCUAAAGGGACUGCCGGUGUUAAACCGGAGGAAGGUGGGGAUGACGUCAAGUCCUCAUGGCCUUUAUGACCAGGGCUACACACGUACUACAAUGGCCGAUACAAAGGGCAGCGACACUGCGAGGUGAAGCCAAUCCCGUAAAAUCGGUCUCAGUCCGGAUUGGAGUCUGCAACUCGACUCCAUGAAGUUGGAAUCGCUAGUAAUCGUGGAUCAGCAUGCCACGGUGAAUACGUUCCCGGGCCUU
rnacentral:rRNA from 1 species